AGGGAUAUAGCUCAGUGGUAGAACGUGUGCUUGGUGUGCAUGAGGUCCUGAGUUAACCCCCAGUAUCUCCA
rnacentral:tRNA from 1 species